CUUUACCUUAGACCGCGGGCCAGACAACUUGUCUUUGGCUUUGGCUGGUCUCUUCUCGUGGUUCUGUUUGUUUGUAAUGUCGGAACUUUGUAUCGGUUCGAAAACUUCUUGUGCCUUGUGUUUUGUUCAUUCAAAUUGUACUGUUUGUUGAAUUUCUUGUUUUUGUGCGAUUAUCAGUGCUUUUGACAGUUCACUUUUUGGGAUAUAGCUGUGCAAUAAUUGGAUUAAUUUAUUUUGAACAGAUUGCUGUAUUCCGGUCAAAAUGUCGUCGUUUUCCUUUUCGUUUCCCAUUUUCCGUAACCGGAACCGGCCUCUUUCUCUUUAAACCAUGUUACAAUCGUUAGAAGAAUACAUAGUAGAAAUGGAAAACCGUAGUGCCAUAGACCAAUCCCAUGCGGGAGCAGUCAACGAAGACAUCUGGACACAACUGCAACAAAAGGAAAACGAUCUGGUUUUAGCCGCCGAAUUAGGAAAAGCACUCUUGGAGAAAAACGAAGAACUGAAGAAGCAGAAGGAUGCGAUGGAGGAGGAGUAUUCGAAAAAACUAGAGUCAAUCGAACAAGACCGUCACAUCCUUCGACGGAAACUCCACUCUAAAGAAUCAGAACUAGAUGCCAGAAUAAUCGAACUCCAAAACGACGUUGCCGAACUCACAUCAAAGCUUCAAGCCAAAGACAACCUUCUGAAACAAUGGGAACGAGACAAGAGCGGCCUCAUGGCGGAGUUGACAGCUCAAAACACCAGACUGACGUCGCAGCUGAAGGACGCAGCACAUAAAGAACAACAUCUCGCGAGAGAGAUCGACGAAUACAAAGAGAGGUUGAGUUUGGGAAAAAGCAGUUUACAGGAACACAUGAACAGUGUCGGCGGUCUUAGAGACGAACUAGAAAUAGCCAGUGAAAAGAACCAAGAACUCGAAAGGCGCCUACAAGUAGCAGCAUCUGAUAGAGACAGCAUAGCCCUAGCGUUAGAGGAAGCCUCCGAUAGAAUUCUGAUGUUGGAAAGGCACGCUCGGGAGCAGGAUAUGCGGUACCAACAGAGUCUGAAGGAAUACAGCUUGCCGCAAGAAAAAUUAUCGAUAGAGGAAAGGCUUAGUGCUGGUGAAGAGCGAUCUCUAUUGUCAGAAAUGGACAUCUCGGAGCCCACUUUGUCUCAGGAGUGUAUGUCCGUCUACCGCCAACUUAGAUCUCUGGUUCUGCAACUGAAGUCCCAUUCCGACGACGAUAGCGGCCUUCAUUCGGAUUGUUCAACUGCGUCGAUGGAAGAUUCUUCGAGGUUUGCUCCAGGAAUGCUCACGGAAGUUGCUCAAGAGCUCGUUGGCUUAGUCUUAGAUACGGACGUAGUGAGGAUAUUAGAAAGGCUAGAACAAGCGCGAAGGGAAAUACAAGAAAGGGACGAGGAACUCGCUAGAAGAAGCGAACGACUUAUGGAGCUCAACACAAAAGCUUCGGUGUGUGAGGUCGAACUAGCAUCAGCAUUGGAGCAGCGAGACAGAGCAAUGCACGACGCUUCAGAUUCUUCAUUGGCUCAAGACGAGGUGGUAGUAAAAGCGCGCGAAGACCGGGACAUUGCGGUUCAGAGACGGAUCAAAGUAGAGGUGGAGUUGGCCAAAACUAGAGUGGAACUUAUGCAAGCCAAUAGCCAGUUGCUCGAGACGGUUCAACAGAAGGUGGAGUUGAGUCAACAGCUUGAACAGUGGCAGAUGGAUAUGCACGAACUGCUCGACGAACAGCUCAAGAACAAGCUAUCCAACCAGGAAAUAAAGAUGAAGAUGCCCAGUGAACCCGUUGCUCCACCGAGGAGAAGACUUCUGUUACGGUUCUUUAACCGAUAGCAUACAUAUUAUAGCAUAAAGCUAGACCAAUUAGGGAAAUGACGUUGUAGACAUUGUAAAAACGUAUUAUGCCCAUUUUUUUUUUCGUAUUUUUUUACCGAAUUAAUUUUUAUCGUUACUUAAAUUUAUUUAACACGUUCGGUGCCUAUAACGCACGAGUAGCGUCACGAAGGUUUCAUAAAAGGUAUGGCUCAUAAGUGGCGUCAGUAGUAAUGUGUUACUAAAUGAACGAUUUAAGUGCCUACGUGGUACCAGCCAAGUGGCGCUUGUUCAAUAUUGGCACCGAACGUGUUAAGAGAGAAACAGUAAUUGUUUAAUAUGAAUUUGUUGUUAAUAGUGCCUUAGUUAUAAUGACGGGAGCGUUUAAAAUUUUUAACAUGUUUCAAUUAGCUUCCAGUUUUCAUUUUUAGGCUUCUAAAAUUGUUAGUCCAAUGACCAUUGUGUAGGUGGUCAACCAACGCUUCUCUUGUCUUCCAAUAAUCUCUUUGUCCAUGGCCCAUCUGUCAUUCUAGCUAUGUAUCUUGACCGUUUCCAUUUUAGUCUGGCUAUACUUUCGAUGACGUCAGUCACCUUAGUUCUUCUGAUCUGUUCGUUUUUUAUUUUGUCUCGCCGAGUUAUUUCUGACAUGGAUCGCCCCAUUCUUUUCUGUGUGACUCUUAGUUUGGUAGCCGUGGAUUUUGUUAAGGUAAGUGUUUUUGCUCCGUAUUUCAAGACUGGGAGGACGCACUGAUCAAAUAUCUUUCUCUUCUCGGUCUAAUUAUCCUUGUCAAUCAUGUCCUAGGUAUUUAUACCGCAUCUACACUCAGUCCUGUUGGACAGGGAAGUGGGCAGCGUGAAUGUGUAAAUGGCUCACUCGCGCUGCCGCUGCUAAUGCUACUGCCAUUGCACGGCGCUCCCUCAAAAGUCGGUUUUCGAGAUGGAAGUCAAAGGACUGGCAACGCGAGCGCGAGUGAGCAUUCACAUUCAACUACUCUCUCUCUCACUUGCUGCCGGCAAAGCGGCAAGUGAGUAAGCGAGGAAGACGAUGCUGUCGUCACAUUCCAUUUUUGAGAGUCGUUCGGUAAAUGAGUUAUGAGGAUAUUGGCGAGGAACUGAUGUGAACACCUCACUCGCGUCGAUAUCGUAUUUCGGGCAAUAUUUCUGGCAAAGGCAGAAGCAGUGGCAAUGGCUGAGUAUAAGUCCGGCAUUAUAUUUUAUCUACGAGUUCUAUUUCUUGCCCACUAAUACUGAUGUUCUGCUUGAGUGCCAAAUUGUUCAUUAUUUUUGUUUUUAGAUGUUUAUAUUUAAACCUACAUUUUCUGUAGACACAACGAGUUCCUGUACCAUCUCUCUUGCCAUUCCUAUAGCCUCAGCUAUUAUGACUAUAUCAUCGGCGAAACGUAAGUUGUUUAGAUCUUCUCCAUCUAUUUUUAUUCCCUUUUCAGCCAAUCCAAAUUCUUAAAAGCAUGUUGCAGCACUGUAUUAUAAAGAUUAGGUGACAUUGAGUAUCCUUGUUUAACUCCCCGUUUUAUUUUUAUGCCAUUACUAUUAAUAUGAAAUUUGACAGUGUUUUUUACCUAUAGGUAUAUAGGUAUGACAAUUUUGUAUACCUAUAAUCUAGCCUACCUUCAACAAGUGCCUAUAGUAUUUUGCUUAGCUCAGUUGUGUCAAGGGCUUUGUAGAAAUCGAUAAAUAUUAGCACUAGAAGUGCUAAUUUUCCCAUUUCCCUUUUCAGCUAUUCAUAUUGUAUCAUCCCUUUCGUUAUUCGUGAAUAUUCAUCCAACGUUAUCAGAAGCGAAUAUACACAAUAAAACAAAUCUAAAGUAUUUUGGGCCUUAUUGCUAUAUAUUUGACAAUUACUGUUCUUCUCUUUCGAAAAGUGUGAUUCUACUCUAUACUUAAAGUGUACUUACUUUAGUUUAUCUAACUUAUUUCGACUGUGCAUUUAGCGAAAAAUAAUCAAAAUUUUUCUAUAGUAGGCCAGUUUUCACAAAAAAAUAAUUUUAUAGAAAAAUCAUCACAAUUUUUAUAAGUAAUGUACAGGCUAUUCCAUUAUUAUAGAGACAAAAUUCAUCCAUAAUAUGUAUUUGUAAGUUGUUGAUAUUAGUGAAUAUUUUUUUGUUUUUAUCAAUUUGUGAUUCAAAGGACACCAUACACAUCUUAUGGAAAAUAUAAUGUCACUCAAAUACAAUAAAAUGUACAUUAUUAUAUUCGCCUUGAAAUUACAAUCAUUUUUAUUGAAUUUUUAUUAAUAAAGGCGUACAUUGAUAUAAAUAAAUCUAUAAUCAAAUUGGAAUAUACGUGAGUCAAAGAGAGAGAAAAUAUGUUGUAAACCACCAGUUCAUAAAUCUUUCUUCAGGUAUUAAAGCAAGGCUUACUCUUUUCUUAUAGAUAAUAAAGUAAAUAUAUAUGAUGGUCUGUCGUAACAAAGUAUAUAGUUCCUCUAAUCGGCUUAGCUCACACUGGGAAGCUGUUUUCAAUAGCCACUAGACUAAUAGUAUUUAUGAAUGACAGUUUUAUGGACUACAAAAAUGUGAUUUGGUAAACAUGUAAAUUUUAUUGCAUUUGAGUGACAUUAUAUUUUCCAUAAGAUGUGUGCGGUGUCUAUUUAAGAAAAUGAGUUCAAGAAGGUAUUUUAUAAUAAUGGGCGACCCUGUAUAUACCUAAAUUUUAAUUUUUAUUACGAGUCUUGGCUCACAUACCGAUUGUUGAUGCAUGUAGAUAUUUAAAGCAAUGUUAAAAGUAUUUUACUGAGCAGCUGUACCUCUGUAGAUUUUUAAUACUAGGAAAUAAUUGGAAAAAGUUAAUGAAUUUAGAUAAUUUAAUAGUUCGCUGGGGAUUGUAUUAUUUUGUAUUAUUUUGAUAUUUGUAUUAUUUGAUGUAUUAUUUUGUAUUAUACAUUUUGUAUUAUUUUGAUAUUUUUUUCGUAAAUAAAACACUUUUAUUGGCGUUGGAAGACUCUAAAGGCACGUAUCCAUUACGUUAGUGCUCCGUGUAACUGCUCGAAUGGAUACGGCAUGCUCUCCUCUAUAUACAGCGUGUUUCUGUAUACAGAAAUACUUUUUUUCAUUAAGAAACAGAAUUCUGACAAAAUACGUACUUUUUGUACAUAUUUUGUCGGAAUUCCAUCCGAAUUAUCUUGCAACGGAUAGUACUACAUUUUUGCCCUGCCGACUUUUAUAACCGAGUUACAGGGUGUUUUGUCGAUUUUGCUCAUUUCUUUUCUAACCCAUAACUUUAGAACCACCUUGUAUAUUUUUUUGAUAUUUGGUACCCAUAUGUCUCAUUCUAAACGUCCCGAACGACCAACAUAAUAAUCACUGGAAAAAUCCAGGUCCGGAUUAACAAAAAAUGCUAAAGUAAUUGUGACCUUAAAACAACACCCUGUAUAUUGAAAUUUUAAAAAUCUGUUUGCAUAUUUGAAAGGAGCACUAAGGAGAACUAAGUUUAUUGGUUCGCUUCAAUUUUUCGGCCAGACAAUUUUUUUACUUUAAUUUUGAAAUUAUAUUGAUUUUUUCAAGAACUCUGACAUUUAAAAGUAGGUAUUAUGGUAUUAUUAACUCUUAAUUAUAAAUUAUUAAAGUUAAUGAAUAAAUACUCAUUUUAAAAAUAAUCAAUAAUUAUUUACUACAUUGGAACGACCCAAUUACUAAUGACAAGAAAAAUCCAGGUCCGGAUUAACAAAAAAAGAUAAAGUAAUUUUGACCUUAAACCAACACCCUGUAUAUUGAAAUUUUGAAAAUUUGUCUGCGCAUUUUAAAAGAGCCUAAAAACUGUGAUUAAAGGUUCAUUUUAAUUUUUUGCGCAUAUGAUUUAAUUACAUCAAUUUUGAAAUUACAUAUAUUGAAAUUUUAAAGAACUCUGAGAUUAAAAACCCGGUAUUAUUAACUUUUAAUAAUUUAAUGUAAAUGGAUCAAUACUCAUUUUAAAAAUACUUAAUACUUAUUAACUACGCCGGCUUCAUGGAUUCUCUUAAUUUGAAGCUGUAUGCACAAUCAUUAAAAAUUAGAAUUGCGAGAAUUGGGAUAUUUUAAUUGAUUUAGUAAAGAAUAAAAAACAGCUAUAUGUAAUAAAAAAAUUCGUUUAAACAAUUCAACAAUUUAACAGAAAUUAAAAAUAUUUGAAUUAUAGCAGUUGCUCAAAAUGUCUGCCAUUUUGUUCGAUGCAUUUACUUGCUCGUUUUAAAAGAUUUCGAAUCGAUUUUCUAAUUACCUUAAUUUUUUGGCAACUUCUUGUCACCGGGACAGAAUUAAUCAAUAUGAUUUCAAAAUUGCCGUAAUUUUUAAUUUUUACUUGCACCUUUUAACGCAGUUGUUUAUUAUCUUUUAAAAUAUGCAAACAAGUUUUCAAAAUUUCAAUAUACAGAGUGUUGUUUCAAGGUCACAUUUACUUUAUAUUUCUUUGUUAAUCCGGACCUGGAUUUUUCUUGUGAUUAGUAAUUGGGUCGUUCCAAUGUGGUAAAUACGUAUUGAUUAUUUUUAAAAUGAAUAUUUAUUCAUUAACUUUAAUAAUUUAUAACUAAAAGUUAAUAAUACCAGCUUUUUAAUGUCAGAGUUCUUAAAAAACUCAAUAUAAUUUCAAAAUUAAAGGUGUUGUUUCAAGGUCACAAUUACUUUAUAAUGAUUUGUUAAUCCGGACCUGGACUUUUCUUAUGGUUAGUAUAUCGGUCGUUUGGGUUUUGAAUGUAUAUGUGUAGGUACCAAAUAUCAAAAAAUAUACAGGGUGGUUCCAAAGUUAUGGCUUAGGAAAGAAAUGGGCAAAAUAGAUAAAACACCCUGUAACUCGGCUAUAAAAGUCGGUAGGGCAAAAAAUGUAGUAUAUCUAGAACCGGCUCGGUGACCUCUAUUCAUCAUUAAAGUAUUUCCGUUUCCCAAUGAAACACUCUGUAUAAAUCGCCACCGGUUGGAUCGCCGAGGGUGAGCGCCGAGCGGAAGCACCAACGUAUCCAUUAUGUGGAGCUACACGGAGCACGGAGCACCAACAUAAUGAAUACGUGCUUUAAAAGAAGAAUAAUACUAACAUAAAUCAGAAAAACUAUCAGAAAUUGGAAACUAUGGGACCCUCUGCUACAUCUACUUUAUCAAUGUUGUAUCGAAAAAGUGCCUUAUAUUUGAUUUCCUCACAUUUUACAACGACUUUUAAUGUGUUUUAGAAGAUUUUAAUUGAUUCAUUAACUUUGUCCAGCUUUUUAACUUAAUAAUUAACCUAAAAACUGUGAUUUUAAUACGAAAGGCUAUACACCUGCACUUAUUUAAUAUAUUGUACAUUUUAUUAAAUAAAAUAUAUUAAUAUUUU
rnacentral:misc_RNA from 1 species